CUGGCUCAGGAUUAACGCUGGCGGCGUGCCUAAUACAUGCAAGUCGAAUGGUAGCAAUACCAGUGGCGAACGGGUGAGUAACACGUAGGUAACCUGUCUUUAAGCCGAGGAUAACCAUUGGAAACGAUGGAUAAUACUGGAUAGGACAUUUGAAGGCAUCUUUAGAUGUUUAAAGAUUUAUCGACUUAGAGAGGGGCCUGCGGCGCAUUAGCUAGUUGGUGAGGUGAAGGCUUACCAAGGCGAUGAUGCGUAGCCGGACUGAGAGGUUGAACGGCCACAAUGGAACUGAGAACGGUCCAUACUCCUACGGGAGGCAGCAGUAGGGAAUUUUCGGCAAUGGGCGGAAGCCUGACCGAGCAACGCCGCGUGAACGAAGAAGUAUUUCGGUAUGUAAAGUUCUUUUAUUAGGGACGAAAAGACAGAUUGACGGUACCUAAUGAAUAAGCUCCGGCUAACUACGUGCCAGCCGCCGC
rnacentral:rRNA from 1 species